GAUGAACGCUGGCGGCGUGCUUAACACAUGCAAGUCGAACGGGAAUUACUUUAUUGAAACUUCGGUCGAUUUAAUUUAAUUCUAGUGGCGGACGGGUGAGUAACGCGUGGGUAACCUGCCUUAUACAGGGGGAUAACAGUCAGAAAUGGCUGCUAAUACCGCAUAAGCGCACAGAGCUGCAUGGCUCAGUGUGAAAAACUCCGGUGGUAUAAGAUGGACCCGCGUUGGAUUAGCUGGUUGGUGGGGUAACGGCCCACCAAGGCGACGAUCCAUAGCCGGCCUGAGAGGGUGAACGGCCACAUUGGGACUGAGACACGGCCCAGACUCCUACGGGAGGCAGCAGUGGGGGAUAUUGCACAAUGGGGGAAACCCUGAUGCAGCGACGCCGCGUGAAGGAAGAAGUAUCUCGGUAUGUAAGGCUCUAUCAGCAGGGAAGAAAAUGACGGUACCUGACUAAGAAGCCCCGGCUAACUACGUGCCAGCCGCCGCAGUAA
rnacentral:rRNA from 1 species